CCAGGAAACAAAAUGAUUCCAUUGAACUUGAAGUUAAGAGUGCCACCCAGUCAUUUGGGGCUCCUCAUGCCUCUAAAUUAACUGCCAAAGAAAGUUAUCAUGCUGGCUUGAAUGGUUGAUACUGGUCUGGCUGGAUUAUCAAGGAGAAAUUAGACUGCUACUCCACAAUGGAGGUUCAACCAAGAUGGUGUCCUGGGUAUAGUGGAAGAGGAUGUUCUCUGGGAUGCAGAGAUUUCCCUGAACAAGUCCAUCACAGAGAGCAGGAGAGUCUGGCCUCUUCAGAUGUGAGCCAUCAUUAAGUUCAAAUUCACUCCACCAUCCACGCAAACUGUGAGAGCUGCUCCAUGGUGCCCAGAUCAGCACAUUCAGCUAGAAUCUCUUGUCACUGGAGAAGCUGUCUGAUUCUCUGAACAUGACGCAAGCCUUGCAGUCACCACCACCAUGAAGGUCAGAUACAGCACCCAAGGCCCUUGCACCUCUGCCACCACCGUGAGAAGUACGUAUCCUGGCCAGCCUGCUGACUCAGGAGGUUGAGAAUCAGGUGCAGCAUACCAGAGCACUGCUUCAGUGUCAGGGUAGAGCUGCUCCAUGACCCAGAGAUUCAUAAGAAAAUGCUGGGAAGGAAUAAUUUGGUGGAGACAAUAUUUCAUAUUAUAGGAUGCAUAAAGGAAAGAGAAUGUGUUGCUAGACGUCAUUGUCAUGGUGGCAGGAGGAAUUUGUUAAACUUCAAAGGAAUGCCUGUUUGUCAUAAAGCCUUUAAAACAAGAUGGCAUCUCCUAUGUGGGAGGAGUGAGGUUUGAUCCUGUGGAAAAUAAACUUAGCUGACAUUUUCAAGUGCUUCUUGUGUUCUUGGCUGUCCUUGAGACAGUGUCUUGGCAGGUAGUACUAUAAUCACUCCAUGAACAUGGGGACACCCGAGUUUGGAUAAGGUGAGCAGUGUGCUCGAGGUCAGUCGGCAGAGGGCAGAGUUGGAUUUGAAGGUGAGGUCGUGUUUGUGGGGCCACUAUUUUUAAUCACUGUACUAGAGGCACCACAGAGAGUGUAGAGAAAACAGAACUGCAAGGCCUGAGUGCCUUAAAGAGAGGUUUUCAGAAUCAGGACCCAGCACGCUUAUUCUUGCUGCAGUGCCUUAACACAGCGGUAAAACAUCCCAUGGGAAACUGUGACUGCAAGACCCGGGGGAUGUUCCUUCUCAGCCCAUGCCCUGCCCAUGCCCCAAGUAAAAGCAGUUUUAGGGAAGACUAGUGUCCCAGGAAUCAUGGUAUUAAAGAGUUGUUGGGCGUGGUGGCUCAUGCCUGUAAUCCCAGCUGCUCUGGAGGCUGAGGCAGGAGAAUCGCUGGAACCCAGGAGGCAGAGGUUGCGGUGAGCCGAGAUCGUGCCAUUGCACUCCAGCCUGGACAACAAGAGCCAAAUUCCAUCUCAAAAAAAAAAAAAAAAAAAAAAAUUAACCUUUCAAAGCAAGAUGGUUUUAGCCAUAAAUUUUCAUAGCAACAGAGGACAGCACAUACCAGUGACAGAACCGAUACUUUGAAUCAAGCCAGCCAGAGGGGUCUACACCCCCUUCCACUGCAGACACCAAAACACAGGACGCCAUUCUCCAUUUCCUGCCAUUUCCAAAGAAGAAUGGACAAAGUAAGCUUGAGGUUAAUGAAAGCAGCCUCAGGACGUUGAGUUCCUAGUCUCAGUUCAAACAGCUAUUUGUGUGAGGCUGGGCAAGUCGCUGGGGUGGGCCUCAAUCCCCUCAUCUGAUUUUACCUGAGGUGCCACCAACUCUAGGAAGUCUCCCAUGAUUGUCCAAAGCUGGGAUCCCUCCCUGUGUGGCCCUUACUAUCUAUUUACCUAAUUCCCUUCCUGAGAACGAGCUCCUUCCAGCUAAGAGAAGCUUUCUCAUGACUGUGCCACCUGUGUCUGGCAGAGGGGACAGCACCUGACAGAUGCCUGUCUUAGUGGCUGGGGCUGCCACAACAAAGAAUCACAGCCUGGGGGGCUUAAACACAGACAUGCAUUUCCUCACAGUUCUGGAGGCUGGAAGUCUAAGAUCAAGGUGGGCAGGGCUGGCUUCUCCUGCGGCCUCUCUCUUCGGCUCGUAGACGGCUGUCUUUUCCCUGUGCCUCAGACACUCACCCCUCUGACUGUGUCUGUAACGUAACUUCAUCUUCUUAUAAGGACACCAGUCAGAAUGGAUUAAGGUUCACCCUCAUGGCCUCAUUUUAACUCAAUUACCUCUUUAAAGGCCCUCUCCAAAUAAGAUCACAGUCUGAGGUACGGUGGUUGGGCUUCAACAUAUAAAUUUGAAGAAUCUUAAUUUAGACCACAAGGGGGUCUCACAUGUUUCAGGUGAAUGGACUGAAUCUCAGCCUGCAGUUCAAUGGGGUCACAUCGAUGUGAAAGAUGAAUUUCAGCUGUGGGUUGGCCUCAGCUAGUUGGCUUUGGCUCUCCUCUGCCCACUUAUUUCCAAGAGUCUGGAAGAAUCUCAGGAGAGCUCAGGGAACCUGGAACAAACACCUACUGCUGGCCCCCACUGCUGCCACUCCUGCUCCCUCCUGAUGGCAGGGUCCCCGUCUCCCCCAGUCAUAGACACGCGGAUGAGCCCCCAUCUCCCUGGCUGACCCACUGCCUCCUGAGCCCAAGUCUCUUUGGCUGAGGCCCCAGUACAUACCAACAGCAUUUUCAAAAUGACUCCUUCACAAUUUCUCUUUAACGCCAGACACCAAAGUCCCCCAGACCUGUCUCUGGAACAAAUACUCUUACCUUUUCUACUUGAACUAAACUUUCAAAAAAAAAAAAAAAAAAAAAUUUGGAACCUGAUGCCAUAGACAAGCUCUGAGCUUCUGUAUAUUUGGAAAUUCUGAAUCUAAUUGAAUAGCAUGAACUUGUCUUUUCCACAAAGGAUUUGAGGCACUGUGUUUUUAAGUGACUAAGCCCACGUCCCUCUCCAGACACCACCUGGGGCUUGGCAAUGAGGAUGCUGGUGGGGGUUUAAUAUGGUCACACAGAAGCCAGAGAACCAACAAGG